AAGGCUUUAAGUUAAUAAUAAACUAUUAGCCUUCAAAGCUAAACAUUUUGGUAAUAAUCCUUAAAGCUUUA
rnacentral:tRNA from 1 species